rnacentral:misc_RNA from 1 species
AACGCACCUUGCGCCCUCUGGUAUUCCGGAGGGCAUGCCUGUUUGAGUGUCAUGAAGACUUCAACCCCUCGGGUUUUGCUCGUGGACGUUGGACUUGGGCGUCUGCCAUGUUGUUGGCUCGCCUCAAAUGCGUCAGUGGUAAUCGGACCUCUGACCGGAGUAAUAAGUUUCUCUGGUCUGUCGGUCCUCGAUGGCUGCUACAAACCCUGCCUAUGGCAAUUCUGACUCUGACCUCAAAUCAGGUAGGACUACCCGCUGAACUUAA